GCCUCUGUGGUGGAAUGGUAGACACUCCAGACUUAAAAUCUGGUGCUUUUCACGAAGCGUGUGGGUUCAAGUCCCAUUGGAGGCA
rnacentral:tRNA from 1 species